UACGUAGGGGGCGAGCGUUGUCCGGAGUUACUGGGCGUAAAGCGCACGCAGGCGGUCUGGUAAGUUUGGAGUGACAGUGCCCGGCUCAACUGGGCAAGGCCUCUGAAGACUGCUGGACUUGAGGACCAGAGAGGGACAUAGAAUUCCGGGUGGAGUGGUGAAAUGCGUAGAUAUCCGGAGGAACACCGGUGGCGAAGGCGGCUUCCUGGACCGGUAUUGACGCUGAGGCGCGAAAGCCAGGGGAGCAAACGGG
rnacentral:rRNA from 1 species